AGCCAGCAACGUGGAUAAAUUCCAGCUAGCUAGCUAGCCUGCGGCAGGCAGAUCUCCCAUUCAAGCUAGUCCAUGCCAUGCCUUUCCACAGCUUUCUUGAACUUCUCUUGCGCCUCUCCUUAAUUACUCCCCACUCUCUCUGUCUCUCCCUUUCUCUCCGUUGGUAGAGAGAGACAUGAAUGGGGAGGGAGAACAAGAGCAGGAGCAGCAAGAAGAGGGUCAAGAAAGCUGUGGGAAGAAAUGGCAUAUCCAGGACUUUCAAUUGCGACUAAUUUCCAAUUGCUGGGAGGGGUGGGAGAUUUCAUGUUAAUCUCCACGCAAGUGGCUUGGAGGAGGGGAAUCCGAGGAUAGGGGCAGUUGGAUGUAUGAACGUACAUUCCUCAGCUCUCUUUUAAUAGUAGAGAUUGCUAUGUAGACAUAUAUUCUUCUAGUUAUUUUUGCUUUCAGCAUAAAUAAUGAUAAUUUCUAUGUAAACUCGUAAGGAUGGGUUUGUACCUAUUACCUACAUACUCCCUCCGCCCAGUAAAGAGUGUACGUUUGGCAUCAAAAUUUGUCCAUAAAAGAGUGUACUUCUAUCUUUCCAAGCACUUUAAAGUAGAAAAAAAAACUCCUCUCUCAUCACACGGUAAUCAAGACCAAUAGCAAUCUAUACAUGGUCUUCUUAAUUUCUACAUGCACUUAGCUCAUUGAAGGUUCGUUAAUUAAAGAGGAGAGAGAUGGUGGCUUGCACUUUUCCAAUGCAUUUUUUAACUCCAUAAUUUGUCCUAAAAUCUCUAGAUGUAUACUCUUCACCGGACGGAGGGAGUAUAUAUAUAUAUAUAUAUAUAUAUAUAUAUAUAUAUAAUUUUCUAAAAGAUUAAAUGAUUUUUGUUAAAUACAAAAAGUAUGUUCAUACAAACUCAAGUUCAAAGUACUUCUUUCUUUAGCUUUUACUAGUAAAUAUGUACGUGCAAUGCACGAUGAUAUUAGGCAGAUACUAAUUGCACACAAAUAUUAAAUAUGAUAUUAUUUAAGCAUUAGUUAUGUGAUUAGCGUUGACGUCAAUAUUUAGUAUGUAAUUAAUUGUACACUAAACGUGUUGAGCGCUGACCAAUGGAGUAAUUUAGGUCAUUGGAUUGACCUGAUUUAAUGGUGAAGAUCAGUUGGAUAUGUCUCUUUGAGUCUUUUAUAUUGUUAUAUAGAUACAUAGAUAUAUGUUUUCAUAUUAACAAUUUUUUUCUCAAAUACGCACGAGUGUGUGUAAUAUAUUAAUGAAGAAGUGGGUGUGAAGAGUGACACUUGAAGGAGCCGGGCCAUGUGUAUAUAUUGGUUGUGUGCCAUAAAAUAUAUACUAUUGUUUGUGUGCCAUGUGCAAUGAAAAAUGAACGAAUAUGAUGGCUUGGUACAGUAUACACAUGACAAAAAUGAAGAAGAAAAAUCGGCCACCGUUGUCUUGGAUCAUAGACAAGAUUGUCAUGCAUGGGUUUGUUUCACUUCAGAAAUCCAAAAAUUAUACAACCGGCGUAGAAAACAUUGAGAACUGUAUGAGCAAAAAUAAUAAAAGAAUCUUCAUUGCCGUUAUUCUGAAAAGUUCUUAAGAAUCGGACAAUUGCGAUGACUGCUAAAAUUGCUCUAAUGUCACCGAUGCAUCCUGAGGUAUACUUCAUACUCCAUCCGUUCCACAAUGUAGCACAUAUAGGUAUUUUCAGAAAUCAAACUUUGCAAACUUUUACCAAGUUUGUAAAAAUAUAUACAUCUAGAAUACUAUGGAGCUGUUUGGUUUCUAGCCACAAUUUGCCAUACCUCACCUUAGUCAAGUUUGACCAAGUUAGGUGGGUGUUUGGUUCUAGUCACACUUAAGAUAAGAAUUUUUUUUAUGAGAAGUGAACCCCACAUAUUAUAGAUACAAAAAGUGUGGCAAGAUUCUCUUAGUUACGUCAAAGUGUGGUUAACAAUUUAAACAACUUAAGUUAGACAAGUGUGGCAAAACUAAUGUAGCAAUAUAUGGCAAACAUAGUCAUGAUCCAAACAGCCCCUAAAUACAUCAUAAGACAUAUUUUGAUAUUAUAUAAAUUUGGUAUUGUAAAUAUAAAUUAUUCCGUCUAUAAACUUGAUUAAAGUUUAUAAAGUUGGACUUUCAAAAUAUUUAUAUGCAUUACAUUAUAAAAUGGAGAAAAUAUAUUAUAUUUUACUCUGCAGGAUGCUUAGUAAUCUGAUACGGUAGUGGCCACAAUGAGAAAUGCACGGAUACGAUGGCUUGGUACGGUAUACAACACAAGACAAAAAUUGAAGAAACCGUCGUCUGGCGUCCAAGAUAAGAUAUGGGGUAAAUUUCAGUUCAGAAACCCAAAAGAUGGACAAACUGGGGUAUAAAUGAACGAGAACUGUAUGAGCAAAAAUAAUAAUACUAGAAAUUAAUGUUUGCCUGCCGACAUUCUACAAGGCUGGAUCGAUGCAGCAGGGGAUGUUCCACAGCCUGUCAAGGUUAACUUUCGCUUUACCCCACUGACAGCCGGACAGCCAGCCAGCCACACAUGCCCAGGCAGUGACACAAGGCAGCUUUCCCCUCUGCUCACUCCACCUCCUGCUUCAUCUCCUUCCUCAGCCCACUCACCCAUAGCAGCGCAGAGAGAGCCCUGUGCCCCCAUCCAUCUCCAUCACAGGGACAACACUCCGGCGAGGACCAAGGGGAGGAAGGGAGCACUGACGCCUUGGACCCGUAGCUGCCGCCGGCCCACAUUCAUGUGGUGGCAGUGGCCCCUGCUGCUGCGUGUGUCAGGUAGGUAGGCUGCUUGGUCGGUGUCAGUCAGCAUUACUAUCACCCCUCCCGCAGUAGAUCUCUCUCGUGUCAGAGUCACCGCCUGCCCAGGAAUGAUGAAUGGUUUUCACCGCAAGGGCCAUGGCCGUGUCAGCAAGCAAGGGAUCACUCCAGUAAAAAUUCUCUCUGGGAGCGGGUAGGUUUCUAACCCGGCUGCAAAUGACACAAGGAGUCAAGGAACAAUGUCAGGUUGGUUUAGCUCUGGGCUAUUUUGUACUUGCCGUCGGCAUCUUGUUAAGAGCAUUUCCAACAUUCGCACAAAAGUUUCGCAUGCUAAAAUAGUUUUAGCAUGACAUGAUAGCA